UGGAGCUGUCAUGGCGUCCGUCUUUGUUUACAGUCUGUGCUUGUAAUUAGGCAGCACAUGGAAACCAAACAUUGACACAAAGCCUUUAUAUCACUCUUGUGUCCCAUUAGUGCACAUUGUGAGGACAUACUUCUUGAAACAGAUGGAUUUCCAGAUUGGGAGAAGGUUGACAACAAAAGUAAAGCUCGAAAAGCUGCAAACAUUGCCACAAUACAUGACUUGCCCUCUCCACUGUUGACCUGAAUUAAGCGUCCUGUUUUGGAAAGAGCCAUGAUACACCAGCUCACCAUCUGCGUCAGUCGGGGUCUGAAAUUUCCUCGAGAAUUUCAUCCAGUUGCUUUUCUGGGUCAUCGGCUAAACAGUUCUUGAGGUCUUCAUCUGUCACAGUCUCGUCUCGGACCAGCUCAAUAAGUGUCUUCUUUCUUGUCCGACAUUUCCAACUCGGAGUGAUGUAAUAAAUCUCUAUACAGUGCAACAUCUUCAACAUCCAAGAGAGGAGCAGUGAUCGGUCAGAUGUUGAUGACUCAAAACGCUUCAGAAGAGCAUUGAACAAGUCUGUGGCAUCUGCUGGGCUCCAUUUGAUGUUUGUAACCAGUCCCUGCAGCUUGUCGAAAAGAUGCUUUUCAUUAUUGUCAGAAGUCAACAAA